rnacentral:rRNA from 1 species
GAACGAGAAAGUGGAGCAAUCCAUGAGUAAAGUGGCGCNACGGGUGAGUAACACGUGACUAACCUACCCUCGAGUGGGGAAUAACCUCGGGAAACCGGGGCUAAUACCGCAUAAUGCCUACGGGUUAAAGGAGCAAUUCGCUUGAAGAGGGGGUCGCGGCUGAUUAGCUAGUUGGCGGGGUAACGGCCCACCAAGGCGAUGAUCGGUAGCCGGCCUGAGAGGGCGCACGGCCACACUGGAACUGAAACACGGUCCAGACUCCUACGGGAGGCAGCAGUGGGGAAUUUUGCGCAAUGGGGGAAACCCUGACGCAGCAACGCCGCGUGGAGGAUGAAGUCCUUUGGGACGUAAACUCCUUUCGACCGGGACGAUGAUGACGGUACCGGUGGAAGAAGCCCCGGCUAACUUCGUG